AUUGAACGCUGGCGGCAGGCCUAACACAUGCAAGUCGAGCGGAGCGGCGGACGGGUGAGUAAUGCCUAGGAAUCUGCCUGGUAGUGGGGGAUAACGUCCGGAAACGGGCGCUAAUACCGCAUACUAUCAGAUGAGCCUAGGUCGGAUUAGCUAGUUGGUGGGGUAAAGGCCUACAAAGGCGACGAUCCGUAACUGGUCUGAGAGGAUGAUCAGUCCAACUGGACUUACGACACGGUCCAGACUCCUCGUGGAGGCAGAAGUGGGGAAUAUUGGACAAGGGGCAAAAGCCUGAUCAAGUCAGGCCGCGUGUGGGAAGAAGGUCUUAGGAUUGUAAAGGACUUUAAGGUGGGCAGCGUUACAAACAGAAUAAGCACCGGCUAGCUUCGUGCCAGCAGCCGCGGUAAUUC
rnacentral:rRNA from 1 species